CCUACGGGGGGCAGCAGUGGGGAAUAUUGCACAAUGGGGGAAACCCUGAUGCAGCGACGCCGCGUGAGCGAUGAAGUAUUUCGGUAUGUAAAGCUCUAUCAGCAGGGAAGAAAAUGACGGUACCUGACUAAGAAGCCCCGGCUAACUACGUGCCAGCAGCCGCGGUAAUACGUGGGGGGCAAGCGUUAUCCGGCGUUACUGGGUGUAAAGGGAGCGUAGACGGCGGUGCAAGCCAGAUGUGAAAGCCCGGGGCUCAACCCCGGGACUGCAUUUGGAACUGUGCUGCUGGAGUGUCGGAGAGGCAGGCGGAAUUCCUAGUGUAGCGGUGAAAUGCGUAGAUAUUAGGAGGAACACCAGUGGCGAAGGCGGCCUGCUGGACGAUGACUGACGUUGAGGCUCGAAAGCGUGGGGAGCAAACAGGAUUAGAUACCCCAGUAGUC
rnacentral:rRNA from 1 species